rnacentral:piRNA from 1 species
AGAGGCUCUGGGCUGCGGCGCCGGGAGGG